rnacentral:rRNA from 1 species
UACGAAGGGGGCUAGCGUUGUUCGGGAUCACUGGGCGUAAAGGGCGCGUAGGCGGCUUUAUAAGUCGGGGGUGAAAGCCUGUGGCUCAACCACAGAAUUGCCUUCGAUACUGUAGAGCUUGAGACCGGAAGAGGUAAGUGGAACUGCGAGUGUAGAGGUGAAAUUCGUAGAUAUUCGCAAGAACACCAGUGGCGAAGGCGGCUUACUGGUCCGGUUCUGACGCUGAGGCGCGAAAGCGUGGGGAGCAAACAGG